rnacentral:rRNA from 1 species
CCUACGGGUGGCAGCAGUGAGGAAUAUUGGUCAAUGGGCGUAAGCCUGAACCAGCCAAGUCGCGUGAGGGAUGAAGGUUCUAUGGAUCGUAAACCUCUUUUAUAAGGGAAUAAAGUGCGGGAUGUCUCCCGUUUGGUAUGUACCUUAUUACUAAGGAGCGGCUAACGUCGUGCCAGCAGCCGCGGCAAUACGGAGGAUCCGAGCGUUGUCCGGAUUUAUUGGGUGUAAAGGGUGCGUAGGCGGCCAUUUAAGUCAGCUGUGAAAGUCUGUGGCUCAACCAUAGAAUUGCAGUUGAAACUGGGAGGCUUGAGUAUGUGUGAGGCAGGCGGAAUGCGUGGUGUAGCGGUGAAAUGCUUAGAUAUCACGCAGAACCCCGAUUGCGAAGGCAGCCUGCCAAGCCAUGACUGACGGUGAUGCACGAAAGCGUGGGGAUCAAACAGGAUUAGAUACCCGAGUAGUC